UCCACCUGCCUCAGCCACCCAAGUGCUGGAAUUACAGGCAUGCGCCACCGCGCCUGCCCUACUGGCAGUGUUUUUGUGGAAUUUUUAAAAAUAUAU
rnacentral:miRNA from 1 species